CCGCAGCCGGAGCGCCGGGACCCGGCAGACGGGGGUACCCUCGGCGGAUGCGGCCAGCGGGGGUGGGCAGGCGGAGGCUUCCGCUCUCGUUUCUCCACAAAUACUAAUCAAAGGCCAGGGUGCGGAGCCUUGUUUGUGUUUUCAUAAACACGCUGUAGGGAAAACAAACCCGGAAACAACCUUGCUGCCCACGGAUGGGGGACUCAUUUAAAUAAGCUGUGGCCUGACCCGUAGUGACACACGAAGUAGCCGUAAAAUGAGGAAGACACGAACCGACACACAACAAGUUAUGUAUCCAGUCAAGAAACAAAAGCGAAGAGGGGAGCAGAGAGUGUACCGACUUAAAAGUGGGUGAAAAAAAAUACAAGCUUUUGCUUGUUAAAUGCACAGAAUGUCUUUGAAAGCAGCAACAACCCGGUAACAGCAGUUGUGUGUGGGGAGGAAGACAGGGCGGGUAGAGGAUAGAUGUUUUUGUACUGCCUUCAAGUUAGAGCCCUGUAUCACCCAUUCAAAGAAAGGCACACCGUGUAAAUAAAAAUACAGGACUGGGUUCUGAGGACUCUCCCCCUGCACCCUCCUACCUUGGGGGAGGAUGAAGAGAAAAAAGCCUAAGGAAGCCCUAAAGGAAAGAAGCAAAAAUCAAAUCUAGGAGAGGCCCCUUUAAGAAGGGAAACUUGCCUCCUCCAGAAAAAUGAUGUGAGGCUGUGAGGCAAGCUGGGCGCCUGGGCAGAGGGGACAGUCGUCCUGGGUUUUGACUUUUAUUAAUACUCGUGUGUUCUGGGAGAUCUAGAGAGGAAAAGAACAACUUCCUGCAGCUAAUGAGGUUUGAACUGUUAGGGUUCUUACUUCCUCUGUCUAGAUCCCGUGGGGGGAGGGUUUGUGAUACACUGUUAAUUUGGCAUGAAAGUCAAGCCUGGAGUGAAAAUUUGCCCAUCUGCAAAUUGUGAGUAACUGCUUAACCAAGCUGGCACUCUCAGCCCUGGUCCAUAGAAAUAACCUCAGCGAAGGUACCAACAACCGUCCCUAGCAGAUGAAGAAACUGAAGAACAGAGGAGUUAAGUAACUGGCCCACCGUCCCACAUCUCCCUCCAGAAAAAAGAAAAGGGACACCAAGAAGAAUGGGCAGGUCAUGGCUGGAGCAAGAGGAAGGUGUCCAAAAUUUCUAGAGAGGGAGGAAAGAAUGGGAGGCUCUCCGGGAAACCGCAAGGACUUUGGCAAGGAGGGGAGGGUCUCUGUGAACCUGGAUCCUUCCGCCUGGAAAAGGAACGUCCUGGGUGUGCUCGGAGACCGCACCCACUUGGAUUUCGAGGAGCUGUAUUUGGGGCUGUCCAGCCGGAGGUGAACGGAGGUGGUGUGUCGGAGCCCCGGGCCCAGCUGUCAGAUCUGGGCUGGUGCUGCACGUGCUUAGGAAAGAUCAUUCUGCAAGUGCUGGCCGUUCACCAUCAUCGAACAAAACAGCAAACGGAACAAAAUCCGCGCCCCACCCCCCAAAAGGGUGUAAGGAGAGGGAGCUCAAAUGACCCACAACAGCCCUCCCCCUGCCACCUUAAUAAAAGAUAUUUAUGGCAGCUUC